AUGCACUCUCGCUCGCUGCCUGUUUUAGAAGAUGAUGACCUUGUCCAUCGUGAUGCCAACAACUGUAUGUCCAAUGGAAGUGAUCUCAAUGCCCAGCCUAAUGAGGAUAACCAUAUGGUGAAUGAGAAAGAAGAUGGUGACCUCGUCCAUCAUGAUGACAACACCUCUAUGGCCAAUGGAAGUGAUCUUGUUGCCCAUCCUGAUGAGGACAACCAUAUGGUGAAUGAGAAAGAAGAUGGUGACCUCGUCCAUCAUGAUGACAACACCUCUAUGGCCAAUGGAAGUGAUCUUGUUGCCCAGCCUGAUGAGCACAACGAGACGAAGAUGGUGACCUCGUCCAUCAUGAUGAAAACACUUCUAUGGCCAAUGGAAGUGAUCUUGUUGCCCAACCUGAUGAGCACAACCAGACGAAACCAUGUGCAUGUGCUUCAGUGCUGGAAGGAUUACAAGAAAAAGGACAACACUAGGAUCUUCCAAGAUUUUGUCGGCAAAGUGGGCAUAAAGUUCCACAUGGACACUGGAGCUGCACCAGUUAUGAAGGCUUGUACACAAAUGAUGAAGUCAGCAGUGCGCCAAUGGCGAUACAGGCUCAAGAAGAAGUAUUUUGAUCCUUUCCCUCUCAAUUUGGUGACGAGAAUUUCUCCUGUCAAAUCAAUGACUGAUGACCAGUGGAAUGCCCUUGUGGAAAGCUGGAAGAAUCCCCAUAAAAUGGUACACUUCUUCCUGAAAACCUAA
rnacentral:rRNA from 1 species